rnacentral:tmRNA from 2 species
GGGGGCGACCUGGCUUCGACGUGGGUUGCAAAGCAGAGCAGGGCAUACCGAGGCCCAGUUACCUCGUAAAUCCAUCUGGAAACUUACAAACGCCAACGACGAGCGUUUCGCUCUCGCCGCUUAAACCGGUGAGCUCUGCACCAGUUUGCUAACGGGCUGGGCUGGGUAACCAGCAGCAGAGUCAGAUACACUAGCUAAGGCUUUACCCCUCCGUGAGGCAAAGCACUAAAACUUUAGCGGAUCGCUGUACGGCAGCCUGCCCACUGGCGGUUGUGCAGCUAAAUCAAAUAAUGAGGCUAAGUAUGUAGAACUGCCUGUAGAGGACUUGCGGACGGGGGUUCGAUCCCCCCCGCCUCCACCA